GUGCUUUUUCUGUCUCCGUCCUCGAAGACUUGUAGUAUAAAAGACCUGCAUGCUCCAUACACUCACCAUAUUCUCUGCGAAUACCGUGAACUGAUCUUACUCCGGCGGCAUGAAGAGUUUUCUGGUGAUCUACGCUGCGCUGCUGGUGCUGGUCGCCAUCUGCUGCAUGUCAGUGCAAGCCGCUGCCGUGGCUGAACCAGAAGCCGCGCACCAUGGAGGACGUGGCGGCGGCGGUGGCGGCCACUAUGGGGGAGGAGGUCACCAUGGCGGAAGCCAUGGUGGCGGAAGCUACGGCGGCGGCCACCACGGGCACCAUGGCUGAGGGGCCAAACGACACCUGCUGCAACUAAUGUGGCACAGCUGCUUGUCCUCGCAACUACAAUAAAGGCCUCGGAGAUGCCAUACAUCUGUAUCUGUCGCCAACAAUAAAUCCUUAUUUUUUCAAA